rnacentral:rRNA from 1 species
AUUGAACGCUGGCGGCGUGCUUAACACAUGCAAGUCGUGCGGUAACAGGCGUAGCAAUACGUGCUGACGAGCGGCGAACGGGUGCGUAAUACAUGGGAAUCUGCCCUUCAGUGGGGAAUAACCCGGCGAAAGCCGGGCUAAUGCCGCAUAAGAUCUUCGGAUGAAAGCGGGGGAUCGUAAGACCUCGCGCUGAUGGAUGAGCCCAUGCCGGAUUAGCAGUUGGUGAGGUAACGGCUCACCAAGGCGACGAUCCGUAGCUGGUCUGAGAGGACGGCCAGCCACACUGGGACUGAGACACGGCCCAGACUCCUACGGGAGGCAGCAGUGGGGAAUCUUGCGCAAUGGGCGAAAGCCUGACGCAGCGACGCCGCGUGAGGGAUGACGGCCU